GUGUGGUUUCUAGGACCUUUUUUUAGUUGGUGGUUAACCUAGGGUUAUGCAUCCCUUGUAUGCUCAAAGAACAGUGCCUGCACACCUCAGUUACAGCCAUCAGAGGCUGUCUGCAAACCAAAUCCUGUAUUACUGAGUUGGCACCAAGAUGAGGGAUGUGAAAUCGGAGACAAACACUGAGCACUUCUCUCCUAGAACAGUCCAGUAGAAGCCGAGCAGACUGCAGUUCUCCAGGGAUAGCACCCUGUUAUCCUAAUUGUAAAACAAUCCUGUUUCUUCAUGCAGUUCCCUGUAUCAUCCACUGUUCAUUUCCCAAUUUCAGGAACAAGGACAAGGGUCUGGCAGGCAUCAGAUUCUUUUGGUUCAGAAACUGCUCAUACUCACAGCACAACUGAAAAGUCAGUAUGCAAUUCUAGAAAAUCACUGUAGGGCUGCUGGUAACCAGAUGACAGCUGUGGAGGCUGCACAGGCAUGGGAUGACACCACUGGGAGAGCUGAGAGGUGUAAGUGGCUUUUUGCAGAGGCUGCUGAAGGUAUCCUAAUGACUUCGAUGUACUUGUGUUAAUUUCGAUUUUUCAAAAUAUCCAAAGUAUUCUCAGGUUUUCUAGUAUCUGGCUUCUUUCUUUUUGCCUUUCUUUUUUUUUUCCUUCUUUUUUUCUUUUCUUUCAUUUCCUUUUUUUUUUCUUUUUUUUUCCCCCAGUUAGUAAAGAAUCUUGGCUUAUGUGUCUGUGUAUAUUCCCAGUAAUUCUUGGAUUUGUUAGCAGGUUUCUAUCAAUCAGAGCUGACUGAGGUCUCAAAGAUAGGCUUGAAUUUACUCAAAGCUAAGUUUAAUUUCAUGAAAUUACAAAGCUGAUAGAGGAAAGCAACCAAAACUGGUGGCCCCACACCAAAAGGCUACAAGAGCUCAUUAUUAGUGGUCAGGGAAAAUGUUGCACAGAGGAGCAACAUCUCUCAGCACCUACACUGUAAGAAAAGCUUCCACCAGAGUUCUGCAUGGAUGGAAACCCAUUAUAAUAGGCAAUUAACACAGAUCCUUGGUUUACAGACUGCUGUACUGUGACCAUUUAUUUGUCCAAUAUAGAAGCAGAGACGGACCAUUAAAUAUGAUAAAUGCCUCCUUUCCUUUCUGUUUUGUGCUAUCCCAAGUUUCCCCAAGCAGCACCCCUCAGAUUUCAUUCCUGCCUCCCUGUUUACCUGCCAGAAAUUAAAAGAAUCUGAUUUAGAUUUCAUAUAUAAGCCAUCCAAAUCAACCAUUCAACUACCCCCAUACCUACUCUCCUAAAUACGUACUGUGAAAAACCUGUCUUGUGGUCAUAUGCUAUUUUAAUUGGUUCCUGCAUUCACCUAAGGCUGUCUGUCUCAUUCACACUUGCUGUCAUUCCCUUUUCCAAGCCCUAUUCUUACCAGGUGUGUGUUUGUCUGAAUCCUGUGAACCAAUCCUAUGACCAUGAAUAGAUAUUCUUAUAUCCUUACCUUAAAUUUACAGUUCUGUUUCUCAUAAAUAUUCUCAAACUGCUUGCUUUUUGAAGCUUUAUGU
rnacentral:lncRNA from 1 species